ACCACCGCUCCACACAUUUCCUGGGCGCUUUCCCUCUGUCUCCACAGUUCCUUUUGAAGCUGUCCUCCUGACUCCUAAGGCCACUCCCGGUGCACAACGACGUUGUCUUUCUGUUGGUUUCCUACGAUUGUUUACUGGUCAGUUACUCACGUGGCUCCCUCAACUUUGCAAGAAUUUAACUUCCUGGAACACAGCCCCAGUUGCCCUGCCAAGCUUUCCCUCAGUCUGGCCUUUAAAGUCCUCUCCAGUGUGACCCCAGUGACUUUUCCAACUUUAUUUCCCAUUCUCCCUUAGGCCUUUUGCUCCUGUGCGAGUAAGUUCCCUGAUCCCACAUUUCCCCUGCAGUAUUCUGCCUCGGUGCCAUUGCCCGCUCUGGAUAAUGUUCCUCUUUCCAUAUGGUACACACUGAUGUCCCCUAACUAGACAUGAUCCCGUCCUACUUUGUAGGAUAUUCAUUUACGUGUGUGUCUCAUCUCUUCUCAGAUUUCCAGCUGCUUUGGCGAAAGAUUGUACCUGCUUCACACCCUGAACUGUGAAUGUCUUGUGAUUGCUGUAUUUAAGGAAGAGGCCUGAUCCCUUAGCCAAAACCCUGGAGAACAGAUGUGCUUUGGAACUGAGAACUUUUCAGAUCUUAAAAAGCAUCAAGUCAGUCAAGAGCUCCAAGUUCCAAGUCCAAAGACCAGCAUCUCAUCUGGAGAUAAGUUCUUUCCACCUAUGAUCCUGUAAAAUCAAAACCAAAUUACUUACUUCGAAGAUACAAUGGUGGAACAGGCAUCAGGUAAACAUUUCCCUUCUAAAAAGGGGAAAAAUGGCCCAAAGAAAAAGGUAACAAGCCCAACCCAAGUCUGAAACCUAGCAGGGCAGUCUAGUCUUAAAGCUCCAAAAGAAUCUCCUUUGACUCCACUUCCCACAUCCAGGGCACACAGGAGCAAGGGGUGGCAAUAUGGUUUGGUUCUUUAUCCCUGCCCAAAUCUCAUGUUCAGUUGUAUUCCCCAGUCUUAGAAGAGGCCUGGCGGAAGAUGAUGAGAUCAUGGGAGUGGAUCGCUCAUGAAUGCUUUAGUACUAUCCUCUUGGUUAUGUCUUCAUGAUAGUGAAUGAGUUCUGGUGAGAUCUAGUCAUUUAAAUGUGUCUGACAACUCUCUCCUCUCUUCCUUGCCAUGUGACAUGCCUGCUCCUGCUUCAUCUUCUGCCAUGAUUGUAAGCUUCUUGAGGUCCCCCAGAAGCUGAUAUCAGAACUGUGCUUCUUGUAUAGCCUGCAGAACUGUGAGCCAAUUAAACUUCUUUUCCUUAUAAAA